AUUGAACGCUGGCGGCAGGCCUAACACAUGCAAGUCGAACGAGUGGCGGACGGGUGAGUAAUGUCUGGGAAACUGCCCGAUGGAGGGGGAUAACUACUGGAAACGGUAGCUAAUACCGCAUACCAUCGGAUGUGCCCAGAUGGGAUUAGCUAGUAGGUGGGGUAACGGCUGACCUAGGCGACGAUCCCUAGCGGGUCUGAGAGGCUGACCAGGGACAAUGGUACUGAGACACGGUCCAGAAUCCGACGGGAGGCAGUAGUGGGGAAUAUUGCACAAUGGGCGCAAGCCUGAUGCAGCCAUGCCGCGUGUAUGAAGAAGGCCUUCGGGUUGUAAAAAACUUUCAGCGAGGAGUCGUUACUCGCAGAAGAGGCACCGGCUAACUCCGUGCCAGCAGCCGCGGUAAUAC
rnacentral:rRNA from 1 species